rnacentral:rRNA from 1 species
UACGUAGGGUGCAAGCGUUGUCCGGAAUUAUUGGGCGUAAAGAGCUCGUAGGCGGUCUGUCGCGUCGGCUGUGAAAACCCGGAGCUCAACUCCGGGCCUGCAGUCGAUACGGGCAGACUGGAGUUCGGCAGGGGAGACUGGAAUUCCUGGUGUAGCGGUGAAAUGCGCAGAUAUCAGGAGGAACACCGGUGGCGAAGGCGGCAUCCUGGACCGGCAUUGACGCUGAGGCGCGAAAGCCAGGGGAGCAAACGGG